rnacentral:rRNA from 1 species
UACGUAGGGUGCGAGCGUUGUCCGGAAUUAUUGGGCGUAAAGAGCUCGUAGGCGGUUUGUCACGUCUGCUGUGAAAUCCCGAGGCUCAACCUCGGGUCUGCAGUGGGUACGGGCAGACUGGAGUGCGGUAGGGGAGAAUGGAAUUCCUGGUGUAGCGGUGGAAUGCGCAGAUAUCAGGAGGAACACCGAUGGCGAAGGCAGUUCUCUGGGCCGUAACUGACGCUGAGGAGCGAAAGCGUGGGGAGCGAACAGG